GAACUCCCCAAAGCACCUUUAGACUACAAUUGGAACAAUGCAGAGAAGAUUAGAGUGGCCUGUGCACAAGGAUCAGAUGAACAUUCAUGAAGUGUUCUGUUGUUGU